rnacentral:rRNA from 1 species
CCUACGGGAGACAGCAGUGAGGAAUAUUGGUCAAUGGACGAGAGUCUGAACCAGCCAAGUAGCGUGAAGGAUGACUGCCCUAUGGGUUGUAAACUUCUUUUAUAAAGGAAUAAAACGAGGCACGUGUGCCUUUUUGCAUGUACUUUAUGAAUAAGGAUCGGCUAACUCCGUGCCAGCCGCCGCGGUAAUACGGAGGAUCCGAGCGUUAUCCGGAUUUAUUGGGUUUAAAGGGAGCGUAGAUGGGUUGUUAAGUCAGUUGUGAAAGUUUGCGGCUCAACCGUAAAAUUGCAAUUGAUACUGGCAGUCUUGAGUACAGUUGAGGUAAGCGGAAUUCGUGGUGUAGCGGUGAAAUGCUUAGAUAUCACGAAGAACCCCGAUUGCGAAGGCAGCUUACUAAACUGUGACUGACAUUGAUGCUCGAAAGUGUGGGUAUCAAACAGGAUUAGAUACCCUAGUAGUC